AGUUCUGGCUUGGGUGAUGGACUGGCACUUGAGGAUUUAAUGUUUGAUCUGGGACAAAGACAUUAUCUUCAUCCUGAAAGAUCAAUCUAGACAUUCUGACUUCUCUCUUGAUUAGAUGACUCCUCCCAGGACCUCCAUUUAAGUUCUUUCUCUGGAUUUGGAUAGCAUCUUUCUCAUAAGUUCCUCUGGAUUGUCCUGGAUCAUUGCAUUGCUGCUCUCCUGCUAUUUUUUUUGCCUGGAAUAUAAUAAUUAGUAUUGAUUCUAACUUGGGAGAUAAGGUUUUUUAGUUUUUAAAAAAUGGUA
rnacentral:lncRNA from 1 species